GACGAACGCUGGCGGCGUGCUUAACACAUGCAAGUCGAACGAAGUGGCGAACGGGUGAGUAACGCGUAAUCAACCUGCCCUUCAGAGGGGGACACCAGUUGGAAACGACUGCUAAUACCGCAUACUGAAGGAGGGGAUUGCGUCUGAUUAGCUAGUUGGAGGGGUAACGGCCCACCAAGGCGAUGAUCAGUAGGCGGUCUUGGAGGAUGAACGGGCACAUUGGGACUGAGAAACGGCCCAGACUCCUACGGGAGGCAGCAGUGGGGAAUCUUCCGCAAUGGACGAAAGUCUGACGGAGCAACGCAGCGGGAGUGAUGACGGCCUUCGGGUUGUAAAGCUCUGUUAAUCGGGACGCGGUACCGGAAUAGAAAGCCACGGCUAACUACGUGCCAGCCGCCGCGGUAAUUC
rnacentral:rRNA from 1 species